GCUAUAUCACAAUGAAACACUGGUGUCCGCACGAUCACCGAAGUUAAGCAACGUCGAGCCUGGUCAUUACCUAGAUGGUUAACCGCUUAGGAAUACCAGGUGCUGUAA